rnacentral:lncRNA from 1 species
GGUCCCUGGUAGGAGACGUUCUGAUGGUUACUCCCGCAUGGUGUCAGCAAUGAGGGGAACUGUGGUGGGGAAUUCAGGUGAGGGCCCGCAGCAAAUUCGGUUACAGCCGCUUUCCCCUUUCAAGCAUGGUGCCUCAGCUGCAGGGACUCCCUCCACCACGGGACCUAACUAGUGAUGGGCACCCUAGCAGCAGCCAGGAGGCACAAGCCAAAGAGAGAAGCAGCUGACAUGUGGUUGAGGAUCAGACAGGACAGGAAAAGUACUUAGAAUAGUCAGCACAAUCUCAUACCUGAAAUGUGACAAGUUUUAAGUGGGCAUAUGACCACCCACUACAGACCCCAUCCUCCCACCUGUCUGGUUUAUGAUUAUGGCCAAUAAGAAUCGAGUCAAAGGAAUGUGUGUCACUUAGAUGAAGCCAUGACAAAAAUAUAAUCCCUU